rnacentral:tRNA from 2 species
GUGAGUAUCGGCUAAUGGUAAGCAGACCGCCUUCCAAGCGGGCAAUGUUGGUUCGAUUCCAACUACUCAUA